CAGACCAUCCUUUGUGGUUACUUUAGGUCUGUGGGUUUGCAAGACCACCAUGCAGGCCUUCCCUGAGUUUGUUCGGUUAGCAUGGGGCCCCUUUCAUCAACAUAGCAAAACUGAUAUUAAAGACUCAAACUAUAAGAGAACAUUUAUAAAAUCAUGGAGGUGGAAUAAGUAAUUCGUACAAGAAAUAGGCUUAGGAAACAAGAUAUAGAGGUAAAGGAAGGGCCCUUGGAGCUUAGAAGUGAGGAAGGUAAAGGUGAUGCAGGGGGAGGCAAAGGAGUGAUCCUGGGAGGGAGAGCCCUCUGGGUCCCCUGUUCUCAGGGUUUUAAGGAGAUUUAGGGGAGGUCCCAGGGGAAGAUCUCAAUAGAAUCUUCAGCAGCUUCCUGGUCUGUCCUUUCAGGGUCCUGUCCCCACUGAUUGGUUGGUUGGUGCCAGGGCAGGGGGUCAUUUUUCAAUGGAGCUGGUCCUGAAGUCAGCCAUGGCUUUGCUCCUCUGGUUUUGCUGCUUUUUUGGGCCUGGAGC